rnacentral:rRNA from 1 species
UACGUAGGGGGCAAGCGUUGUCCGGAUUUACUGGGCGUAAAGAGCGUGUAGGCGGCCAAACAGGUCCGUUGUGAAAACUGGAGGCUCAACCUCCAGACGUCGACGGAAACCGUGUGGCUAGAGUCCGGAAGAGGAGAGUGGAAUUCCCGGUGUAGCAGUGAAAUGCGUAGAGAUCGGGAGGAACAUCAGUUGCGAAGGCGGCUCUCUGGACCAGCACUGACACUGAGGCACGAAAGCGUGGGGAGCAAACAGG